rnacentral:rRNA from 1 species
AUUGAACGCUGGCGGCAGGCCUAACACAUGCAAGUCGAACGGUAGCACAGAGAGCUUGCUCUCGGGUGACGAGUGGCGGACGGGUGAGUAAUGUCUGGGAAACUGCCCGAUGGAGGGGGAUAACUACUGGAAACGGUAGCUAAUACCGCAUAACGUCGCAAGACCAAAGUGGGGGACCUUCGGGCCUCACACCAUCGGAUGUGCCCAGAUGGGAUUAGCUAGUAGGUGGGGUAAUGGCUCACCUAGGCGACGAUCCCUAGCUGGUCUGAGAGGAUGACCAGCCACACUGGAACUGAGACACGGUCCAGACUCCUACGGGAGGCAGCAGUGGGGAAUAUUGCACGAUGGGCGCAAGCCUGAUGCAGCCAUGCCGCGUGUAUGAAGAAGGCCUUCGGGUUGUAAAGUACUUUCAGCGGGGAGGAAGGCGGCACGGUUAAUAACCGUGCCGAUUGACGUUACCCGCAGAAGAAGCACCGGCUAACUCCGUGCCAGCAGCCGCAGUAA